GUCAGUAUGGCCGAGUGGUUAAGGCGACAGACUUGAAAUCUGUUGGGCAAUGCCCGCGCAGGUUCAAACCCUGCUGCUGACG
rnacentral:tRNA from 1 species